rnacentral:rRNA from 1 species
GACGAACGCUGGCGGCGUGCUUAACACAUGCAAGUCGAACGGAGUGGCGAACGGGUGAGUAACACGUGGGUGAUCUGCCUUGCACUUCGGGAUAAGCUUGGAAAACUGGGUCUAAUACCGGAUAGUGCAAGAUGAGCUCGCGUGCUAUCAGCUUGUUGGUGGGGUAAUGGCCUACCAAGGCGUCGACGGGUAGCCGGCCUGAGAGGUUGUACGGCGACAUUGGGCCUGAGGUACGGCCCAGACUCGUACGGGGGGCAGUGGGGGGGAAUAUGGCACAAUGGGGGGAAGCCUGAGGCAGCGACGCCGCGGGUGUGAUGAAGGUCUUCGGGUUGUAAACUCCUUUCGACAGGGACGCGGUACCUGUAUAAGAAGCACCGGCUAACUCCGUGCCAGCAGCCGCGGUAAUAC